CCUAUCUAUUCUAUAUCUAUUAUGUACAGAUAUGUAAAAAAUAUAGCUUUAAUUGGGAAAAUUUGCACUGGAUGAAGCACUUUAAAAUUCUUCUCCCAUGCCCCAGUACUGUCAAGUUUUUGCCUAGAGCAACGUACUGACUUUUUGAGUUCUGCUGGAUCCUGCCUAGAGAAACCGCUUGUCAUUUCAAAGUUGCAUUUAUAUUUCCAUACACUUUUUGAAUAUUUCGUUUUGGAAAGAGUAACUCCACCUGCUUCUUUUUUCCACAUGUGUACAUCAAAGGUGAAGCUGGGAUGUGUCCUCUUUCCUCUUAACCCCCUAGCUCAGGACCUGGUAAAUACAGCAAACGGGGAGUGAGUUUCUCAAAUGCCUGGCUGUGUCUGCCCUGUGGCUGCCCCGAGAUGGGGUGGUGGAAUAGCAAGAGGAGCCUUGCCAGCCUGCAGGACUCAGGUGCUGCUGAGCCCUCCAGUUACCACGACUACAGCGCUUUCCAGCAGGAAACAUUUGCACCUCCAGCACUUUCCGCUCAAAGUGCUCCAUGGUAGCAACACCUGUGUGUGGUGCAGAAGCUGGGGCUACACUGCUUUAUAACUCGUCUUUCUAUCUGACCUCUGGAGUCCAGUGAAAGACCAAAACUUUACUGCUGUCCAUGUUCGCAUGUAGUAAUGGUGGGAGAACUAAAUGACACUGAAAAUUCUGGAAAUGAGGAGAAACAGACUAAAGCCACGGGCACCGGAUGAAUGAAGAGAGAGAAGAGUGCUUUAGAACGCCUCCGUCACCGCCUGUUGCACUGUCCUGAUGCUUGUGCUCCCCUACAAGAGGCAGAUGGAACAAAUCUGGGAUGGCUGGCUCACUGUGAGUGUCUCCCAUGUCCCUACGUCACAGACACCCUGAAUGUCCACCAGUUAGUGUUUUCUUUGUGGCCACGCUCACUGGUUUUGGAUCAGGCUAAUCUUUCCUCAGUGUCCUCCUCUCCCCUAAUUUGUGAGUCUGAGCUGAAAUCCCACUGACAUGAAGGCAAUAGAACAGCAGAGUCUGUGUCUGCAAGGUGCAAAUUAGCAUCGGCUCUGGCUCUGAUGGGGUGGGAGGAAGAAAAUGCUUAGCAUUAACACAGUAGAAUUGGGCUCCAAACCUACAUUGAAUCUUUUUCUCUCUCAGGUCUUUGUGUUCAUUUAGAUGUUCCUUGAGCUGUCAGAUAAAUAACCUUAUGCACUGCAGUGGGGCGGGAAAAUCUAUUCUUGGGUUCCAUACACCCUUUCCCCUCCUUCGGUAGGUGGCCUGCUGUGCACUGGUGACCACCCUAGUGGCCUUGGCAAACCUGGCCGGCACGGCGCUGACCGUCACCAUCCAGAGGGACUGGAUCGUGAGCUGACGGGUGACAACAGAGGCCAGCUGGUUGGUGAGUGGUACCGCCCUGGGUACUGAUCCUCUAAUCAGCUGAGAAGUAGAGAGCUGACAAGGCAAUCAGGGCUCUGAGAGAGGCUGACAACAGCCUUUAAGAAUAUGUUAUUUGGAGUCAAUGAGACCUGGGUUUGAGUCUGAAUUCAGCUAAAAUCAGCUGUGCCUCUUACUAGAUGCAUACUCCAGGGCAAGUUACGUGACUUUCCUCAUCUGUAUAAUGAGGGAAAUAAAGACACACACACACACACACACACACACACAGCUCAGCUUUGGGAAGGAUUCUAUAAGAUAUAGGAUUUGGAAAGCACUUAACACUAUGUCUGCAUGUAGGAAGUGCCUAAAAAAUGAUUGGUACUGUAUUAUCUAAAGAAUAUAUAGGCCAGGCGAGGUGGCUCACGCCUGUAGUAGUCCCAGCUACUCGGGAGGCUGAGGCAAGAGAAGUGC
rnacentral:lncRNA from 1 species